rnacentral:rRNA from 1 species
UACGUAGGGUGCAAGCGUUGUCCGGAAUUAUUGGGCGUAAAGAGCGUGUAGGCGGCCCCGUUAGUCCGCUGUGAAAGUCCAGGGCUCAACCCUGGGAUGCCGGUCGAUACUGCCGGACUAGAGUUCGGCAGAGGCGAGUGGAAUUCCCGGUGUAGCGGUGAAAUGCGCAGAUAUCGGGAGGAACACCAAUGGCGAAGGCAGCUCGCUGGGACGUUACUGACGCUGAGACGCGAAAGCGUGGGGAGCAAACAGG